rnacentral:rRNA from 1 species
UACAUGGGGUGCAAACGUUGCUCGGAAUUAUUGGGCGUAAAGCGCACGUAGGCGGUUCGUUAAGUCGGAUGUGAAAGCCCUCGGCUCAACUGAGGAAGUGCACCCGAAACUGGCGAGCUUGAGUACGAAAGAGGAUCGCGGAAUUCCCGGUGUAGAGGUGAAAUUCGUAGAUAUUCGCAAGAACACCAGUGGCGAAGGCGGCUCACUGGCCCGAUACUGACGCUGAGGCACGAAAGCGUGGGGAGCAAACAGG